AUGAUGAUUGCUGAAAUCAACAAGAAUGUUUCUGCUGACCUUGCUGGAUUUCAGAUCAAUCCUGAAUGGAUAAUGCCAUGUUGUGAAAAAAUAGUAUGUAAGGAUCGUGUGAGCAGGUGAAAACCCUUCAGCUGCUAAUAUAAGAAGUCUGGACAGUAGAAAUAGAGGGCUUGAAUUCAAGUGCCCAUUAAGUAGCACGUAUUGAAA
rnacentral:lncRNA from 1 species